GCUGAUAUGGCCGAGUCGUUAAGGCGAAUGAUUUGAACUCGUUCAAGUAUCAUUUGGGCAUUGCCCGCGUAGGUUCAAAUCCUGCUGUCAGCG
rfam:Phlebiopsis gigantea 11061_1 CR5-6 unplaced genomic scaffold PHLGIscaffold_5, whole genome shotgun sequence.